rnacentral:rRNA from 1 species
UACGGAGGGUGCAAGCGUUGUUCGGAAUCACUGGGCGUAAAGCGCGUGUAGGCGGCUAUUUAAGUCUGAUGUGAAAGCCCUCGGCUUAACCGAGGCAGGUCGUCGGAUACUGCGGAACUAGAGGACGGUAGAGGCGUGUGGAAUUCCGGGUGUAGUGGUGAAAUGCGUAGAGAUCCGGAGGAACACCAGUGGCGAAGGCGACACGCUGGGCCGUACCUGACACUGAGGCGCGAUAGCAUGGGGAGCAAACAGG